GACGAACGCUGGCGGCGUGCCUAAUACAUGCAAGUCGAGCGGACUUGACAGAGCUUGCUCUGUUCAAGUUAGCGGCGGACGGGUGAGUAACACGUGGGCAACCUGCCCUGCAGAUUGGGAUAACUCCGGGAAACCGGGGCUAAUACCGAAUAACAUGGAAAACCUCAUGGUUUUCUUUUAAAAGGCGGCUUCGGCUGUCGCUGCAGGAUGGGCCCGCGGCGCAUUAGCUAGUUGGUGAGGUAACGACUCACCAAGGCAACGAUGCGUAGCCGACCUGAGAGGGUGAUCGGCCACACUGGGACUGAGACACGGCCCAGACUCCUACGGGAGGCAGCAGUAGGGAAUCUUCCGCAAUGGACGAAAGUCUGACGGAGCAACGCCGCGUGAGUGAAGAAGGUUUUCGGAUCGUAAAACUCUGUUGUUAGGGAAGAACAAGUAUCGGAGUAACUGCCGGUACCUUGACGGUACCUGACCAGAAAGCCACGGCUAACUACGUGCCAGCAGCCGCCGUAAUAC
rnacentral:rRNA from 1 species